UGGGGAAUCUUGCGCAAUGGGCGAAAGCCUGACGCAGCCAUGCCGCGUGAGUGAUGAAGGCCCUAGGGUUGUAAAGCUCUUUCACCGGUGAAGAUAAUGACGGUAACCGGAGAAGAAGCCCCGGCUAACUUCGUGCCAGCAGCCGCGGUAAUACGAAGGGGGCUAGCGUUGUUCGGAUUUACUGGGCGUAAAGCGCACGUAGGCGGACUUUUAAGUCAGGGGUGAAAUCCCGGGGCUCAACCCCGGAACUGCCUUUGAUACUGGAAGUCUUGAGUAUGGUAGAGGUGAGUGGAAUUCCGAGUGUAGAGGUGAAAUUCGUAGAUAUUCGGAGGAACACCAGUGGCGAAGGCGGCUCACUGGACCAUUACUGACGCUGAGGUGCGAAAGCGUGGGGAGCAAACA
rnacentral:rRNA from 1 species